rnacentral:rRNA from 1 species
GAGUUUGAUCCUGGCUCAGGACGAACGCUGGCGGCGUGCCUAAUACAUGCAAGUCGAGCGAAUCUUUGGGAGCUUGCUCCCAUUGGUUAGCGGCGGACGGGUGAGUAACACGUGGGCAACCUGCCUGUAAGACUGGGAUAACUUCGGGAAACCGGAGCUAAUACCGGAUAAUCUUUUUCAACUCAUGUUGAAAAACUGAAAGUCGGUUUCGGCUGACACUUACAGAUGGGCCCGCGGCGCAUUAGCUAGUUGGUGAGGUAACGGCUCACCAAGGCGACGAUGCGUAGCCGACCUGAGAGGGUGAUCGGCCACACUGGGACUGAGACACGGCCCAGACUCCUACGGGAGGCAGCAGUAGGGAAUCUUCCACAAUGGACGAAAGUCUGAUGGAGCAACGCCGCGUGAACGAUGAAGGCCUUCGGGUCGUAAAGUUCUGUUGUUAGGGAAGAACAAGUAUCGGAGUAACUGCUGAUACCUUGACGGUACCUAACCAGAAAGCCACGGCUAACUACGUGCCAGCAGCCGCGGUAAUACGUAGGUGGCAAGCGUUGUCCGGAAUUAUUGGGCGUAAAGCGCGCGCAGGCGGUCCUUUAAGUCUGAUGUGAAAGCCCACGGCUCAACCGUGGAGGGUCAUUGGAAACUGGGGGACUUGAGUGCAGAAGAGGAAAGCGGAAUUCCACGUGUAGCGGUGAAAUGCGUAGAGAUGUGGAGGAACACCAGUGGCGAAGGCGGCUUUCUGGUCUGUAACU